AACAUGAGAAAUACGCCAUGCUAAUGUGCCUUGGAUGAUCCACAUCUCAGAAUCAGGCGCUGAUGAGCACAUUGAACUAUCCAUGUGGAGCCUGCUAGCUUGGUCAAAAACAAUAAGUAUGCAGACAGUACAUUAUACUUAUCUGGAAGAGCUUCAAACCAAGGCAAGCUGUGUCUAAAGUAUAUUUUCCUUCAUUCUUAAUAUGGAGUAUCUAAAUGUUCAAUUUGGUUAUGCAUAUAUAGAUACUAUUGUAGAAAUAGCCGUACACACAGACAAAAUGGCCUUCGACUAUAUAGUCUAAAAAUAUACGUAUUUAUUUUUAUUAAUAUAUAACAAUGUGACGUGACGAGAAAAGAUUUUUAAAAAAACGGUCGUGGAAGUAAUUUUUCUCCAACAAAUGUUGCUGAUCCUUGAGUUAAACACUUAUCAGCUUACAUCUCUUGGAAGAAAAUUAUACAAGAUGUGGAAAAUCCCACUCUUUAUUCAGGUCAAAGAAUUCUUGAUUAUGAUGGAGUUAUGGGGUCUUUGUCCAACCAGCUUGCAAAGAGCCACCAACUACUAUAUUAUUCUAAAGGAUUAUUGUAAUUUUCAGAAAACGAUGGCAGCUUAAUCUUCUAAGAAUUCAUAGUCAAUUAUUCCGGUUUUGAGAGUAUGUCACAUAUUUUAUUCCUAAACUAACCCGUUCUGCCAUUUGACCAUUUGUUUUAAUUAUAAUGUUUCUCAAUAUUCUGGUAUUUCCUAUUCAACCCCUCAAGAAUGCAUC
rnacentral:lncRNA from 1 species